UGUUACCGAAAAAAAAAAGGAUAAAAAGAACGCCACUAUCUUGACAAAACCAAAAAGUAGUGUAGCUACUACCGUAGUAGAUAGAAGAAUUAAGCACAGCUUUCACUAUUGCAAAAGUGUCCCAAGUUUCAUCAUCAAUGGCAGAAGCUACAAAGAAGUACGCAGUUGUUACAGGGGCCAAUAAGGGGAUUGGCUUCGAAAUAUGCAGGAAGCUGGCCUCAAAUGGGAUCGUGGUGGUUCUAACUGCUAGAGAUGAGAAAAAAGGCCUUGAAGCUGUUGAAAAGCUGAGAGAGUUUGGGCUGUCUGACCACGUUGUAUUUCAUCAGCUUGAUGUGGCGGAUCCUGCUAGUAUAGCUUCCUUUGCAGAUUUCAUUAAAAACAAAUAUGGGAGGCUCGAUAUAUUGGUCAACAACGCCGGGAUCGCUGGAUCUAUAAUAGAUGGAGAUGCUUUAGCUGCUUCAGGUCUUGGUAAGGAUGGUGUCAAUGUGGAUUGGAGUAAAAUAGCGACAGACACUUAUGAGUUAGCUGAAGAGUGCCUGAAAACAAACUACUAUGGCGCCAAAGGAAUGAUUGAAGCACUUCUUCCAAUCCUCCAGUUGUCCAAUUCACCAAGGAUUGUUAAUGUUUCCUCUUCCAUGGGACACUUAGAGAAAAUACCAAAUGAAUGGGCUAAAGAAGUGUUAGGUAAUGCUGAAAGCCUAACAGAAGAAAGAGUAGAUGAGGUAUUGAAUGAAUAUCUGAAAGAUUUUAAAGAGGGUUCCUUGGAAACCAAAGGCUGGCCUAGAUAUUCGUCUUCUUAUAGGAUUUCAAAAGCAGCUAUGAAUGCCUACACAAGGAUUGUGGCCAAAAAGUACCCAUCUUUUCGAGUCAAUUGCGUCUGCCCUGGCUAUGUCAAGACAGAUAUAAACUACAACAGAUAUAAACUACAACAAUGGCUAUUUGACGACUGAUGAAGGUGCUGAAAGUGUUGUAAAGUUAGCGCUCCUGCCCAACGAUGGUCCUUCUGGCCUCUUCUUUUAUCGGAAUGAAGUGACAAGAACCCAGUCAUUAGUAUGGGGCACAAUUCAACCCACACGUGAACAUGUCUCACAGCUGAAUUUCUUCUUAUUUAAGCAGUUUAGCACUGCUUUCACUUGUUACAAAAGUGUCCCCCAAGUUUUAUCAUCAAUGGCAGAAGCAACAAAAAAGUAUGCAGUUGUUACAGGGGCCAAUAAGGGGAUUGGUUUUGGAAUAUGCAGGAAAUUGGCCUCAAGUGGGAUCAUGGGGGUGCUAACUGCUAGAGAUGAGAAAAAAGGCCUUGAAGCUGUUGAAAAGCUGAGAGAGUCUGGGCUAUCUGACCAUGUGGUAUUUCAUCAGCUUGAUGUGGCUGACCAUGCUAGUAUAUCUUCCUUGGCAGAUUUCAUUAAAACCAAAUAUGGGAAGCUUGAUAUGUUUGUCAACAACGCGGGGAUUCUGGAGCUAUAAUUGAUGGUGAUGCUUUAGCUGAUUCAGGUAAUGAUAUGCAAGGUGCCAACGUGGAUUGGAGUAAAAUAUUGACUGAAACUUAUAAGUUAGCUGAAGAGUGCCUGAAAACAAACUACUAUGGUGCCAAAGGAAUGAUUGAAGUGCUCCUUCCAAUCCUCCAGUUGUCCAAUUCACCAAGGAUUGUUAAUGUUUCCUCUUCCAUGGGGCACUUAAAGAAAAUACCGAAUGAAUGGGCUAAAUAAAAGUUAGGUGAUGCUAAAAGCCUAACAGAAGAAAGAGUGGAUGAGGUAUUGAAUGAAUUUUUGAAAGAUUUUAAAGAGGGUUCCUUGGAAACCAAAGGCUGGCCUAGAUAUACGUCUGCCUAUGUGCUUUCAAAAGCAGCUCUCAAUGCCUACACAAGGAUUGUGGCCAAAAAGUUCCCGUCUUUCCGAGUCAAUUGCGUCUGCCCUGGCUAUGUCAAGACAGAUAUAAACCACAACACUGGCUACUUGACAAUUGAUGAAGGUGCUGAAAGUGCUGUAAAGUUAGUGCUGCUGCCCAACGAUGGUCCCUCUGGCCUCUUCUUUUAUCAGAAUGAAGUGACAACUUUUGAUUGAGAUUAUUCAUUUCUACCAAUUCUCAAGGAUAAAAUGCUAAUGAAUCUGCACUUUUCCUUGCCUAGUUUACUAUGUCUUGAAUCACAAUUUAAUUGUCUAUUUGAAAACAAUGGCAUAAAGUGUAUGCAGAGAAUAAGUGUUUUCACUUGGUGCAUGUAAUGUCAAUUAUAUGCUUUUAGUAAUGCAAUUGUGAAGAAUCUUUUGUUC